rnacentral:rRNA from 1 species
UUAUGGCUCAGGAUGAACGCUAGCGACAGGCUUAACACAUGCAAGUCGAGGGCAGCAUAAAAGUAGCAAUACUUGGUGGCGACCGGCGCGACGGGUGAGUAACGCGUAUGCAACCUACCUAUCAGAGGGAAUAACCCGGCGAAAGUCGGACUAAUACCGCAUAAAACAGGGGCACCGCAUGGUGAUAUUUGUUAAAGAAAUUCGCUGAUAGAUGGGCAUGCGUUCCAUUAGGUAGUUGGUGAGGUAACGGCUCACCAAGCCGACGAUGGAUAGGGGAACUGAGAGGUUGGUCCCCCACACUGGUACUGAGACACGGACCAGACCCCUACGGGAGGCAGCAGUGAGGAAUAUUGGUCAAUGGGCGAGAGCCUGAACCAGCCAAGUCGCGUGAAGGAAGAAGGAUCUAUGGUUCGUAAACUUCUUUUGCAGGGGAAUAAAGUGCAGGACGUGUCCUGUUUUGUAUGUACCCUGAGAAUAAGGAUCGGCUAACUCCGUGCCAGCCGCGGC